ensembl:lncRNA
CUCUGCUCUUGGUUUUACUUCCUUUAUCACCUUUCCACAUACAGUUUGUGAACACCGACUGAUGUGUAGUAUCAGUCAUUUCUUUUAUUUAUGCUGCAAACUGUAUGAACACACUCUGAACAGCAAGAAGACAUGGAAGCUGUGCUUGGAUUGAUAGUGAUGUUGCUGGGUUUGUCUCAUGGUGUGGAAACUCAUUGUGAUGGCAGACAGGAUGGAGCUCAGUGUUAUGGAGCUUUGGGAGGAACUGUGGACAUCCAGCUGAUGGACAGCACCUCAAAAAUACCUCGAUACCAACUGUUAAAGAAUUCAUUAAAAAUACUAGAUGUGAGAAAGAAAAAGAUUAUUUAUAAUGUAUUACAAAAUGGGUCUCUCUUUUUUCCCAGUAAUAGAACAUUUAGGCUCAAUUAUCUGAGCAGGGAUGACAGCGGUAAUUAUAGCCUUAUAACAUUUAAUUCAGAUGGAAAAGCAUCAGACGAGCAGACUCUACACUUGUUUGUUCAAGCUCCUGUGUCCUCUGUCCUGCUGCUCUCUGAGUGUCUGUCCCAGGGAGGGAUGAGGGUGUCCUGUUCCUCUGAGGGAGGGGACAGUCCUCAGUACAGCUGGACUCUGGAUGGACGCACACUGACAGAUGCUGAGCUCCUUUCUAUAAAUAAUGAGACUAACAUCAUCACUCUGAAACAGUACGUCUCAGGACGUCUUGUCUGCUCAGUCAGGAACAACGUCAGUAAUGUCUUCAAAGAACAGAAGAUAUCUCCCUGUGGUGUGGAAACUUACUGUGAUGGCAGACAGGAUGGAGCUCAGUGUUAUGGAGCUUUGGGAGGAAGUGUGGAGAUAAAGCUGAUGGACAGCACCGCAAAAAUACCUCGAUACCAUUUGUUAAAGAAUUCAUUAAAAAUACUAGAUGUGAGAAAGAAAAGGAUUCUUUAUAAUAUCAUAGAUCAUAAAUUUCUGCUUUUUCCCAGUAAUGGAACACUUAGGCUCAAUUAUCUGAGCAGGACAGACAGCGGUAAUUAUAGCCUUAAAAGCUUUGAUUCAGAUGGAAAAGCAUCAGAUGAGCAGACUCUACAAUUGUUUGUUCAAGCUCCUGUAUCCUCUGUCCUGCUGGUCUCUGAGUGUCUGUCCCAGGGAGAGAGGAGGGUGUCCUGCUCCUCUGAGGGAGGGGACAGUCCUCAGUACAGCUGGACUCUGGAUGGACGCACACUGACAGAUGCUGAGCUCCUUUCUGUAAAUAAUGAGACUAACAUCAUCACUCUGAGACAGCACAUGUCAGGACAUCUGGUCUGCUCAGUCAGGAACAACGUCAGUAAUGUUUUCAUAGAACACAGGCUGUCUACCUGUGCUCUGUCAGUGGGAUACAGACAUCAGGAUAAGAUGCUUAUAUGUGGUUUGAGAGCAGUUGUGGUCAUUCUCUUGUUAAUUGGGAUUCCCAUCUACUUCGCUUGGAGGAAAAAGAAACAUGCCAAAGCUGAAGUCUCUGCUGUCCCACAAACAAGAGGAGAUCCAGAGGACUCUCUUCUGAUGAUUGAAAUGAGUUCUGCAACUUACACCAACACCUAGUUUCACCUUUUACUUGCUGUUAUUUAUCUUUGGUUCACAAGCAUGAAAAUAGCAUUUAGAGAGAAAUUCUUCUGCUCUUUUUAUUCCCCACAAAUUAUGAUGAGAAGCUCUGUGGUUUCUGGGUUUUACAUUUUUUAAAUACAAAAUCUUUACAAUUCUUAAACAAUAAAGUCUUGAAUUAAGUUUA